rnacentral:tRNA from 1 species
AAUUAUUUAGUUUAAUAAAAAUAUUGGCUUGUCAAGUCAAAGAUGAUAAUUUAAAAUUAAUAAUUAUUA